GGCGCUCCGCCCCGGCCCCGCGGCGCUCGGUCGGGUUCGGUACCGCGGGGACGGCGCAGGACAAAAGGCGCGGCGGGGCGAGGGGCGGCGGGGCGAUGGGCGGCGGGGCGGCGCCAUGAGGAGGCGGCGGCGGCGGCGGCGGCGAGCAUGGCGGCGGGCGGCGGCGGGGCGCGGCGGGGGCUGCUGAAGCGGAAACCGAACUUCACGCUGCAGGAGAUCGACAUCCUGAUGAGCGAGGUGCUCAAGUACGAGCAGCUGCUGUUCGGCGCCGCCGCCAGCACCGUCAACGCCUACGAGAAGCAGAAGAUCUGGUGGCGCAUCACCAACAAGAUCAACGCCGCCGGCCGCAACCAGCGCGACAUCGGCGAGGUGAAGAACCGCUGGCGCGGGCUGCGCCGCCGCGCCAACGACAAGAUCACCCGGCACCGGCAGGAGCGGCAGGGACCGGCCGCCAGGCCCGCCCCCAGGCCCGGCACCGGCAGCGGCACCGGCAGCGGGUCCGGGCCAGGCCCCCCGGAGCUCGGCCCCGGCCCCGCGUCCGGUUGGGGACAGCGAGGAGCCGCCGGCAUCGACCCGCCGGUCCUGAGCGCCGAGGUGGUACCGCACGGCCUCAAGGAGGAGGUGGUGAAGGAGGAGCCGGUGGAGGUGAAGACUGAGCCCUUCCAGAGCCCGGCUCCCGACGGCGUUCCCGGCUGCGGCGGCCCCCGGCCGGGCGCUGAGCAGAGCGAGGGCUGGAGCCGGAGCCCCCCGCGGCCCGCGGCGCCCGAACUGUGCCUCGGGGAGCUGGGGGGGCCGCAGGAGCCGCUGGGCUCCGACUUCCCCAGCAUCCUCUUCCAGCAAGAGGCGGAGCAGCUCCAGGACUGCGGGGCCGGGGCCGCCGCGCCCGCGGGGCUGCCGGACGGGACCCCCGGCUGCGCGCAGCUCUGCGCGGCCGAUGCGCGGGCGGUGCAGGCGCAGGAGCGGCUGGUGCAGGAGGUGCGCGCCUUCCGACGGGAAUACGCCGAGAGCUGCCGGGAAACCACGUCCCUGCUGCGCGCCAUGGCCCAGGCGCUGGGCGGGCUCAGCCGCAGCCUGGCCGAGAUCCGGGAUCUCUACCUCCGGGAGCAGGGCCCCCAGGGCUGACACCCCCCCCCGCAGCUGGCUGUGGGGUCCGGACACCCCCUUCCCUCCUCUUGCUGCUUUGAGUCUUAUUUUUAUGGGUUUUCCCACCCUUUUCCAGCCCGUUUCAAUAAAUCCCGAGGUGCCCCCGGGCUCAUUGAGGGGUUCGGGGGGCGAUGGGGUACUGGAAGCUAUGGAGAUGGGUGGUUUUCACCCAGUGGGUUGACCCAAAGGGUGUGGUGGUGCUGAAUGGAGCUGGUGGAUGGACCCCCCCAGCUCCCAGUGAUGGUGUGGGGGGGGUGAAUCGCACUCCCCUGGCACCAGAGAUGGGUCCCAGGGUCAGGGUAGAUGGAGGAAUCAUCCCUGCACCCACAGCCCCAUCCCAGGAUUGCAUCUGCUGCUUCCUGACCCAAAAUACCAUGGAAUCACGG
rnacentral:lncRNA from 1 species